UGACAGGGUGAACUUGUAUAUUGCCUGACCAUUGUCAAAAGCUCAGAACUCAACAUCAUUGGACGUAAGAUCAAUUUUGAUUCUUUUUUUUUAUGGAUCAUGAACAUUCGGUAAAUAAUGAACUCACGUUGCCUUUCUUUUAAUGAAACAGAAAACUAUACUAUGACAUAGACUACAUAUAUAGAAUAGCAUCGUGUUGUGCACUAGUAUUCAUCUUGGAAAAAAGUUUGUUUCCUCUUACGUUUGUUAGAUCCACUUUAGCCCCCGUUGUGUUCUGACUUCUGGCUUAUGAAAUAGUAUAUCUUAAUGCAGGCUAUGA
rnacentral:lncRNA from 1 species